rnacentral:rRNA from 1 species
GAUGAACGCUGGCGGCGUGCCUAAUACAUGCAAGUCGAGCGAAUGGAUUAAGAGCUUGCUCUUAUGAAGUUAGCGGCGGACGGGUGAGUAACACGUGGGUAACCUGCCCAUAAGACUGGGAUAACUCCGGGAAACCGGGGCUAAUACCGGAUAACAUUUUGAACCGCAUGGUUCGAAAUUGAAAGGCGGCUUCGGCUGUCGCUUAUGGAUGGACCCGCGUCGCAUUAGCUAGUUGGUGAGGUAACGGCUCACCAAGGCAACGAUGCGUAGCCGACGUGGGAGGGUGGACGGGCACACUGGGAAUGAGAAACGGCCCAGGAUCCUAAGGGAGGCAGGAAUAGGGAAACUUCCGAAAAGGAGCAAAGUCUGACGGAGGAACGGCGGGGGAGUGAUGAAGGCUUUCGGGUUGGAAAACUCUGUUGUUAGGGAAGAACAAGUGCUAGUUGAAUAAGCUGGCACCUUGACGGUACCUAACCAGAAAGCCACGGCUAACUACGUGCCAGCCGCCGCGGUAA